rnacentral:rRNA from 1 species
AACGAACGCUGGCGGCAUGCCUAACACAUGCGAGUCGAACGAGACCUUCGGGUCUAGUGGCGCACGGGUGCGUAACGCGUGGGAACCUGCCCUUAGGUUCGGAAUAACUCCCCGAAAGGGGUGCUAAUACCGGAUAAUGUCUUCGGACCAAAGAUUUAUCGCCUUUGGAUGGGCCCGCGUUGGAUUAGCUAGUUGGUAGGGUAAAAGCCUACCAAGGCGACGAUCCAUAGCUGGUCUGAGAGGAUGAUCAGCAACACUGGGACUGAGACACGGCCCAGACUCCUACGGGAGGCAGCAGUGGGGAAUAUUGGACAAUGGGCGAAAGCCUGAUCCAGCAAUGCCGCGUGAGUGAUGAAGGCCUUAGGGUUGUAAAGCUCUUUUACCCGGGAUGAUAAUGACAGUACCGGGAGAAUAAGCUCCGGCUAACUCCGUG